rnacentral:rRNA from 1 species
GAUGAACGCUGGCGGCGUGCCUAAUACAAACAAGUCGAGAGAAGAGGGUACGGGUGAGACACACGUGGAAAACCUACUAUAAGACUUGGAUAACUUCGGGAAACCGGAGCUAAAACCGAAAAUUUUAGAUGGAUCCGCGCUGCAUUAGCUAGUUGGUAAUGGAACGGCUUACCAAGGCAACGAUGCAUAGCCGACCUGAGAGGUUGAUCGGCCACACUGGAACUGAGACACGGUCCAGACUCCUACGGGAGGCAGCAGUAGGGAAUCUUCCGCAAUGGGCGAAAGCCUGACGGAGCAACGCCGCGUGAGUGAUGAAGGUCUUCGGAUCGUAAAACUCUGUUAUUAGGGAAGCGGUACCUAAUCAGAAAGCCACGGCUAACUACGUGCCAGCAGCCGCGGUAAUAC